GGGGCACUGGCGGCCAGGGCGUUCCCGGCUGCGCGCGCGGUGCUUACCCCGGGGGAAUUCUGAGCGAGUUCCCGCGCGGGCAGGCUGUGGUGGCGCCCACAGCCCCAAGUCCGAAGGUCCGGGCGGUCCCCGUAACCGUUUUAAAAACUCAGGGCACAUCUGAAAGAGAAAAGGCAGAAACCACUUUAUAUCUGUUGGCAGAUAUGAACAGAUUCACCCCCUAUAUGAAUACGAAGAGAAGAUCCCAUUGCAGCCUGUAGAAGCUGGAAAAGGCAAGAAAAUAAAUUCUCCUCUAGAACCUCUAGAGGGAAUGCAUCUGUGUCGACACCUUGAUUUUAGUUUUGUAGACUUGCAUAGGACCUCUAACCUAUAUAACUAUAAGAUAAUAAAUUUAUGUCAUUUUAA